AAAAGGCACAGGAUUCGAGCGGCGAAAGUUUCAACGUAGAAAAGCCCCUUCUUGACAAUCCACUAAGACAUGGAGCAUGGUCAACUUCUACCACAGGUUGGAGAUGCAGAACCAGCAGCAAGUAACGCAUUUCUCGGCUCAAAGAGGUUGGCAUCAAAGAGUUUUUCUGCCAGCAGGGAGACACUCUUGAGGGUAAAUGCCAUCGCGAUGACAGACAUUCUCCUGCCGUCCUGGGCAACGAGCCGUUCAUUUGCAAACCGCAGCUCCAUCAGUUCUUGGCCAGCAGCCUCCAUGACCUCUCUUUGGUGAGUGAAUGUUGAUGGCCGCAGGGGAGCCUUGAAACCAGCAGCAACAGGAUUGCUGGAGUUCAGCAGGUCAAAUGCACUGCAAGGGAAAUAAUAGUUAUUAAAUCAGAUUACGCACCACCACAUAAAUUCAAAAGGACAUUUUUAGAUGUGCAUGCAAACUUUCAAAAAAGAUUGAAAGAUCCUGCAGUCUGUGCAGUUACAAUAUUUGAGACUGUUCUUGUAAAGUUCAGCAUUCUUUGAACUUUCAGCUUCACUUCACAUUUCCUCAAAUUUUUUCAAAAAAGGUUUGAAAACCUGCACUUGAUAAGACGCUCCAAUGCCCACAAUCAGCCUAAGGAAAGUUAUCAAAGUACUUGAGAUGUUCACAAUUGUAGUGAAUGAUGCUUGUUAUUAUGUUGUACUGAAAUGCAGCAAGAAGGAUAGCACACGAACGUGAGAAGGAAGAAAUGUUUUUUCUUUUUUCUUGAGUUUCUUCUCAUGCUCUUGCUCAAUGUAUUCAACAUUAUUUACUUGUAAUGUUACUUUCACUUCUGGUAGGUUUCCAAUAUCCAUUGAGGUGAAGCAUUAUUCUCAGUGUUGAAUACAAAUGUGGUUGCAGGGCUCAGUUAUUAUGUGAAUAUUUUAUCCACAUAACCUAGACAAUGCUACUACUAAUCUGUAUGCUUGCAUCUGAAUGACUGUUGCACACCUGACGCACAUUGCUUUCUUUUUUCCAACAUCAUUUAAUGUAACACAGAUACGACUUUGUGGCAUCAUGCCGCUUGUAUACACUCGUAUGCUGCACCCGACAGAGUCCACUUAUGCUUGCCUGUAUGGGAUGUAAUGACCAUGAAUAGCGUCAUUUCAUUCCUGUGAAUGAACGGUUCAUCCAUGAUGUAAAGUGUGUUUUUCUUUCGUGUUCCUUUUCCAAAGAUUUGUAGAAAAUAAUGUUCAAACUUUUAUUAUUAACCUGUCUACCAGCGGUGCAUAGUGUAAUAUCUUGCGAAAUUUUUUUAUUGCUAUUUCACAGCAGAAAUAUAUUUAUUAAACCUGUGCAUCUAACAGUUGUGACCCAUUAAACUUGUAUUCUUGAAGAAUAUAUAUGCUUCACAUUUAUGCUGCUGAGAAAAAAUGGUGACCACAUGUGGUGUUCAUCAACAUUCAUCAGGAUCAUGUGGAACUUUUUAUUGCUGCUGUUACCUUUGAUGCAAUUGAUAACAAAGUAUUGUAUUUAGAUGCAUUGUGCACCUGCUUUAUUUACACUGCUCCACAACAGCUUCUAGUAAUGCUCCUUGUAUAAAAAUAUUUGCUGGGUGUAUUUAUUACACACAAAGAGAACUGAUUGAGACGGAGGAAUGGCCCGCCAUUCUAUGUAGACCUGUGUGCCCUUUCGAAGUAGUCAACAUUCACUUUCUCUCUUAACUUCUCUGUACUACAAUGUUUCAAAUUCCAAUAAAUUUGCGUCUUAUUGUUGAGUA